UUAAAUAGCAUUAUCUUCUCUUUUUAGUGAUUCCUUGAUAGUGAAAACUGAUCCUAGAUAGAAUACUCUUAGAAACACAGCUGCAUUGUGCACCAUUUCUAUCCACUCAUGUCUCUGCCUGAAUGCAUCUUCAUGGAAGCCACUCAGCCCUUUCUUGUUUUAAAACUGAACAGCUUGAAUCAACUACUGUGUAAAAGUGAUGCAUAAAGGAAAUGGAUGGCUUAGAGGCAAGGAACCUUUUUUCUGCAACAAGCUUAUGCUACAGGGAAAGAUAAAGUAGCUUGCCAGGAAACACCAGAAGAUCAUUGACAGAGUCAGGAAGAGUGUACUGAUUUCUAUCACCCUGCUUGAUAUGCUCAAGAGCCAGCUGAAGUCAACUCAAGCCUAUGUACUUUCAUUCAGUCUGACAUAAGAGCCCCAUUCCCUAGGACUGGUAUCUCCUUCUUUGUGGGAUUACUGUCCCAAGAGCCCUGGAGGGUCUGAAACAAAUUCAGACUUCUAGUCUUGAAGUUCUUGAGUGUCAGUCAAGCAGAGCACCUUAUGUGAAGCCAAUACAGUGACCAACAAAGCACUUGAUUUAGCUACUCAUCUAUUGCACAUAUUUGUGGGUUUCUGUUGUGUGGGAAGCUGGUCAUGUCCCUUUCUUCAUCUCAUGUGA